UAGGGAAUCUUCGGCAAUGGACGAAAGUCUGACCGAGCAACGCCGCGUGAGUGAAGAAGGUUUUCGGAUCGUAAAACUCUGUUGUUAGAGAAGAACAAGGACGUUAGUAACUGAACGUCCCCUGACGGUAUCUAACCAGAAAGCCACGGCUAACUACGUGCCAGCAGCCGCGGUAAUACGUAGGUGGCAAGCGUUGUCCGGAUUUAUUGGGCGUAAAGCGAGCGCAGGCGGUUUCUUAAGUCUGAUGUGAAAGCCCCCGGCUCAACCGGGGAGGGUCAUUGGAAACUGGGAGACUUGAGUGCAGAAGAGGAGAGUGGAAUUCCAUGUGUAGCGGUGAAAUGCGUAGAUAUAUGGAGGAACACCAGUAGCGAAGGCGGCUCUCUGGUCUGUAACUGACGCUGAGGCUCGAAAGCGUGGGGAGCAAACAGG
rnacentral:rRNA from 1 species